AGGGGCCACACUUCUUUGAUCAUCUAAAAAAUUGAAGAUCUACUCUGAGGUUGAUUUAAGCAGAUAGAACCUUCACUGUAAUAACAUCAGGGCAGGAGGUCUCGUCUGCUCGCUUUCAAAAGGAUAUCCAUUUCUGAUGAAUUGUUGAACUAGGAAUCUUAGAUCACCGGUGAUGAGAAUACCGCUGCCUAAAAGAUAAGG